rnacentral:rRNA from 1 species
UUUGGGUGGCGGACGGGUGAGUAACGCGUAAAGAACUUGCCUCACAGAUAGGGACAACAUUUGGAAACGAAUGCUAAUACCUGAUAUUAUGAUUAUAUGGCAUCGUAUAAUUAUGAAAGCUAGUAUGCGCUGUGAGAGAGCUUUGCGUCCCAUUAGCUAGUUGGAGAGGUAACGGGCUCACCAAGGCGAUGAUGGGUAGCCCGGCCUGAGAGGGUGAUCGGCCAACAGGGGACUGAGACACGGCCCUUACUCCUACGGGAGGCAGCAGUGGGGAAUAUUGGACAAUGGACCAAGAGUCUGAUCCAGCAAUUCUGUGUGCACGAUGAAGUUUUUCGGAAUGUAAAGUGCUUUCAGUUGGGAAGAAAAAAAUGACGGUACCAACAGAAGAAGUGACGGCUAAAUACGUGCCAGCAGCCGCGGUAAUACGUAUGUCACAAGCGUUAUCCGGAUUUAUUGGGCGUAAAGCGCGUCUAGGUGGUUAUGUAAGUCUGAUGUGAAAAUGCAGGGCUCAACUCUGUAUUGCGUUGGAAACUGUGUAACUAGAGUACUGGAGAGGUAAGCGGAACUACAAGUGUAGAGGUGAAAUUCGUAGAUAUUUGUAGGAAUGCCGAUGGGGAAGCCAGCUUACUGGACAGAUACUGACGCUGAAGCGCGAAAGCGUGGGUAGCAAACAGGAUUAGAUACCCUGGUAGUCCACGCCGUAAACGAUGAUUACUAGGUGUUGGGGGUCGAACCUCAGCGCCCA